rnacentral:rRNA from 1 species
GACGAGGGGUCCAAGCGUUGUUCGGAAUCAUUGGGCGUAAAGCGGGUGUAGGUGGCUCUAUAAGUCAGAAGUGAAAGCCCCCGGGCUUAACCCGGGGAAGUGCUUUGAUACUGCAGAGCUUGAAUGUGGGAGAGGGUAGUGGAAUUCAGGUGUAGUGGUGAAAUAACGUAGAUAUCUGGAGGAACACCGGUGGCGAAGGCGGC